rnacentral:lncRNA from 1 species
AUGGAGAAAAAACCUUGGGAGAAACCAGGCUCAGUCAGGGUGGCAGUUCUCCUCUGGCCAGACGAAACCAGCAGUUCAAUUCCAGGCUGCAGCAAAUUCACAUUGUGCAGAGGACUCAACUGGUUCCUGUGGUCUUGUCCCGGUGGUUGUCUGAGACAAGGUCUUUACAGGGGAUCUGUAUCUGGGGCUCAUCUAGUUGUCCUGGUCUCCGCUGACAUUCAGGGCUGUAGAGGUCCUUUCUAGGUGCUGAUCCACCAUCUGGUCUGGAUACAUACUGGAUCCUGAAUAGGGACAACCCGUUUAGACCAUGCGCCCAUGUGCGUCAACCAUUUUUCUGUUGUUAAUAUAACAAACGUGGAUUUGGACACGCCCUUAGUGCUCCUGCGCCUUGCGCUUUACACUUUGUGUUUAGAUCUUAAAAUAGGGCCCAAGGUCUUUACAGGGGAUCUGUAUCUGGGGCUCAUCUAGUUGUCCUGGUCUCCGCUGACAUUCAGGGCUGUAGAGGUCCUUUCUAGGUGCUGAUCCACCAUCUGGUCUGGAUACAUACUGGAUCCUGGUGACUGCAGUGACCAUCUGAUCUGGAUACAGACUGGAUCUGGUGGCUACGGUGAUCUCGGAAUAAGAGAGAAACAGACUAAUAUUAGCGUAGAUGCCAUUCUUCUAACAAUGUAGCAAGUACAUCGGGUGUUUUAGAAAGUGUUCCUGGUUCCGGUUUACCUAAUUAAUGCAGCCUAAAAAUCCUUUAACAGAUUUGGAUAUUAGAAGCGUAUUAGUUUGUUAUGUGUAAGUCAGGUUAAAGAGAUGGGUCUUUAAUCUAGAUUUAUUAAUGUAACAAGAGCUCGUUCAAAUACUGAGGUGCUAAACCAUUCAGGGCUUUAUAAAUAAUAAGCAAGAUUUUUAAAUCUAUAUGAUGUUUAACAGGUAGCAAGUGCAGUGUUGACAGAAUCAGGCUAAUAUGGUCAUACUUCCUGGUUCUAGUAAGAACUCUAGCUGCUGCAUUUUGAAUCUCCCAAGGGUAACAUGUAAAGCGUGAAGAGUAACGGCCCUAGUACUGAGCCUUGAGGUACUCCAUACUGCACUUGUGAUCGAUAUGAUACCUCUUCAUUCACUGCUACGAAUUGAUGGCGGUCAUAUAAGUCCGAUUUGAACCAUGCUAAUACACUUUCAUUAAUGCCAAUAAAGUUUUCUAGUCUAUGCAAAAGAAUGUUGUAGUCAAUAGUGUCGAACGCAGUGGUAAGAUCCAACAGCACUAAUAGAAAGAUACAACUAUGAUCAGAUGAUAAGAGCAGGUCAUUUGUAACUCUAAGGAGAGCAGUCUCAGUAAUAUGAUAUGGUCUAAAUCCUGACUGGAAAUCCUUACAGUAUACCUAUUUUUUCUAAGAAGGAAUAUAAUUGUGAGGAUACUACCUUUUCUAGUAUCUUGGACAGAAAGGGGAGAUUCGAGACAGCCAG